AACGAACGCUGGCGGCAGGCUUAACACAUGCAAGUCGAGCGCCCCGCAAGGGGAGCGGCAGACGGGUGAGUAACGCGUGGGAACAUACCCUUUCCUGCGGAAUAGCUCCGGGAAACUGGAAUUAAUACCGCAUACGCCCUACGGGGGAAAGAUUUAUCGGGGAAGGACUGGCCCGCGUUGGAUUAGCUAGUUGGUGGGGUAAAGGCCUACCAAGGCGACGAUCCAUAGCUGGUCUGAGAGGAUGAUCAGCCACAUUGGGACUGAGACACGGCCCAAACUCCUACGGGAGGCAGCAGUGGGGAAUAUUGGACAAUGGGCGCAAGCCUGAUCCAGCCAUGCCGCGUGAGUGAUGAAGGCCUUAGGGUUGUAAAGCUCUUUCACCGGAGAAGAUAAUGACGGUAUCCGGAGAAGAAGCCCCGACUAACUUCGUGCCAGCCGCCGCAGUAAGAC
rnacentral:rRNA from 1 species